CAUCUCACAGAAAGCCAGAGGGGAGGACGUGGGGCUAUCAGUCCAACUCCUCAGUUAAUAGCCAGGGAAACAGAAGCCCAGGGAGAUAAAGACGGUGGCAGAGGAGGAAUUCUUUCUUAGCAGAUCUUCCAUUCCUAAUCCAGGAUCAUUUCCAGGGCUCCCAGGCAAAGGCUUCUCUUUUCUAGGUUCUCAAGAUGCUUGAAUCCUGGGACAAACACAGAGGAAGGAGCUCCUAAGGAUGGGGGCAGUGGUGAGGAAACAGGCCACUGAGACAGUGAUGGUGUUUGUAGGCAAAGAAGCUACUUGUAUUUGCCAACCACACCAGGAGGCCAGGUUAGGAGUUUCAAAACAAGUUUGCUGCCAAGAAAAACACACAAAAACCCAUAGAUUCAUGCUCUGUAAAUCUCAAGAAGCAACUCUGUCCCAUCCCCAGUCAUGCCCUACACUGGGUCUGUCUUAGAAUUCUAUGUGCAAACUGGCCCCUGCUACUUAUGACACCCCCGAGGGCCUGGCUUUCAUUCAUCCUCCUAUCCAAUCACUAUCUGGUCCCCAGGGUAAAGUGCAGUAUCUAU
ensembl:lncRNA novel transcript